GUCGACCGGCCGGACACGUAUGUGCUCGGCCCACAAGUGGAGGCUCCGAUCUCCCACCUGACCGUCCUCCGGGGCGGCGGGUCAUCCGGUCAGACGGCCACCAUCGUUCCGUACGGACGAUGGAGCCGUCCGAAAGCGCGCCCCGCGAUCGUCGCGGCGGUGCUCCGGUUGCCAUGGAGCCCCGCCUGUGAUCGUCCGGGGCAUUUUUU
rnacentral:ncRNA from 19 species